UUGAUGGUGUCAAGUGUGUGACAUACUCAAGAGAUAAACUAAGAGAAAUCCAAGAAUGGUGUCAGUUCAUGAUCAGCCUAAAAGUUAUAUGAUAUUUUUAUGAUAAGGUGGUGAAGAGUGAACGAAAUUUGGAAAUAAAUAAUAAUGAUUUGCCUGCUUGUUUUGGAUAAAAAUGUUGAGACGCUUAAGUAUCAAAGAAUAAAUUUAACAACAUAUCAUGGGUCCGAGUACAGUGUCCUCGCCAAGAAAAUGGUAUAGAUUGCGGGUACUUUGUGAUGAGGUUUAUGAAAGAGAUUCUCAUUUCAAAACUAAACGAGAUUCCAAAGCUGUACAUUGAUGAUUUCAAGUGUGUGACAUACUCAAAAGAUAAACUAAGAGAAAUCCAAGAAGAAUGGUGUCAGUUCAUGCUCGGCCUAAAAGUUAUAUGAUAUUUUUAUGAUAAGGUGGAGGAAAGUAACGAAAUUUGGAAAUGAAUGAUGAUUUGUCUGCUUGUUUUGUAUAAAAAUGUUGAGAAGAUCAAGAAGAUAGAUGAAGACUGCAUGAUACAAUAGAAGAUUUUGAUCUUUAUGUUAACUAAUUAGUUGUGUAACUCAUAGAGAUCGAUAUCUAUGUUACCAUAUUAGAGGCCAUACAUUUCUGACUUUUAUGCUAUA